rnacentral:rRNA from 1 species
UUUUAUUGAGAGUUUGAUCCUGGCUCAGGACGAACGCUGGCGGCGUGCCUAACACAUGCAAGUCGAGCGAUGAAGUUUCCUUCGGGAAACGGAUUAGCGGCGGACGGGUGAGUAACACGUGGGUAACCUGCCUCAUAGAGGGGAAUAGCCUCCCGAAAGGGAGAUUAAUACCGCAUAACAUUGCAGUUUCGCAUGAAACAGCAAUUAAAGGAGCAAUCCGCUAUGAGAUGGACCCGCGGCGCAUUAGCUAGUUGGUAAGGUAAUGG